UCCUACGGGAGGCAGCAGUGGGGAAUUUUGGACAAUGGGCGAAAGCCUGAUCCAGCAAUGCCGCGUGUGUGAAGAAGGCCUUCGGGUUGUAAAGCACUUUUGUCCGGAAAGAAAUCCUUGGCUCUAAUACAGUCGGGGGAUGACGGUACCGGAAGAAUAAGCACCGGCUAACUACGUGCCAGCAGCCGCGGUAAUACGUAGGGUGCGAGCGUUAAUCGGAAUUACUGGGCGUAAAGCGUGCGCAGGCGGUUUGCUAAGACCGAUGUGAAAUCCCCGGGCUCAACCUGGGAACUGCAUUGGUGACUGGCAGGCUAGAGUAUGGCAGAGGGGGGUAGAAUUCCACGUGUAGCAGUGAAAUGCGUAGAGAUGUGGAGGAAUACCGAUGGCGAAGGCAGCCCCCUGGGCCAAUACUGACGCUCAGCACGAA
rnacentral:rRNA from 1 species